rnacentral:lncRNA from 1 species
GUGCGCCGGUCAGACCCUCUAUUAGAAGGAAAUUCUGAGUUCAAGUCUUCAACAACGUGUUAUACAAUAAAUAGAUUUAAGUAUUUCAUGUUGGGUGGAUCUCUUUUCCUCUUAGACAAAUUGACCUCUUCCAAUGUUUGACGUUGCAAAUCUGAUUUGUUAGCUAGUCUUGAGGGAAAGAUCAGCUUUAGGGUUGCAUAGCUCAUACACCAUGAGUUCAACAAUUUUGCCGUUCAAAUGAUAAAGAACAUUUAUUUUGUACUCACAGGCAACCAGAUGGCUAUAAGUAGCAACAAAACUUCUAACGUUUCACACCUUGGAUAUAUCAUUUUGUUAGACAUUGAAUUUUAUCAUGUAUCUGUUUAGGAAAGAUGUGAGAACCAGUCCAAUUGGAUCUGGUUCGAAGUGAAAUUGGCAAAGCUUGCCGACUUCACUGUAAUUUUUUUAAAAAAAAAUUGAUCGGAGCAAAGAAACCUUAUCCCCUACCUGAUCAUCAAUCGUGGAACGAAGAUAAGGCCGCCAAGUGGCCGGAUAAGAGUCAUGCAUCCAGUGGGA